AUGAAGUUGGAAUCGCUAGUAAUCGCGGAUCAGCAUGCCGCGGUGAAUACGUUCCCGGGCCUUGUACACGCCGCCCGUCACACCAUGAGAGUCGGGAACACCCGAAGUCCGUAGCCUAACCGCAAGGGGGCGCGGCCGAAGGUGGGCUCGAUAAUUGGGGUGAAGUCGUAACAAGGUAUC
rnacentral:rRNA from 1 species